GGGGCGUGGUGGCAUUGGAGAAGAAAGAAGAUACACUAGUGUAUGGAUUUAGCCUGCUAAUUUAAUAAAGCACACAGUUUGUCCUUCCUGCAAAUUACUUUGUCUUGCUGAAAAAAGAUCACUUUGUUUUGGUUUGUGCAGAGACAAAGCAUACUCUUUUUAAGGGAAUUGCAUUUUCUAUAAUUUAAUCUGCUCGUUUCACUAUUUACUUACAACAAAGGAGCAGGCCUGUUGGUCAUUUUCUUUAAUAUACUCGCUCUUCAAAUCUUCAAUAAAAGCAAUAAAAUAGAUAUCCUGAAUCUUCAAUAAUUGAAACAAAUGUGGCUCUAAGAGUAACAGAGUCCUAGUAGCUGUAGAACUCUAGUUUGACCUUAAAGCCAUUGAAGAGUACAGUCACAAACAUUUUCAGCUCCCUUUUUUUACAAGUUUUAUUUGUCAUUUAAAUCUUAAAACAGAGAUUUUUUUCGGAGCUUCAAG
rnacentral:misc_RNA from 1 species